rnacentral:misc_RNA from 1 species
AGAAGAUGGGAAGGAAAGGAAAUGAAUUAAAAUAAUAAUAUCAAUAAUAAAGAGGAGUGCAAAAGAGAGGAGAUUGGAAGAAAGGUAAAGGACAAAAACUGAGCCCACAAUGGAAGAAUAAAGGAGACUGCAAAGAGAGAGGACUGAUUAGUGGACCAACCUCUUACAUCCAUACAGGUUUCACAAGCUAACUUCACAAGUGAAUAUUACAUAAAUGUGAGAUACCAGUCCACUAUUUUUGCUUUUAAAUAUCAUACAGGCCAUACACUUUUUGUUGCACAUUUAAAUAUCAUACAGGUAACUAUAAUGAAAUAAAAAUAAUCCCAGAUUUAUGAGCCCAAUAAUUAGUUUCAAUUUUCAAUGCUAUGCUACCUACCUCAACACUAUCAAAAAUCAAACAGAUCCCCAAUAUCAAAAUAAUCUAAAGUUAAAGUGAUUAAGUUAUUAUGUUUCCCUACCCUAUUGCUGUUAGUGUGCCCCGAACCAUGAAUAGGGAUGCAAAUCCCAGAAUACAGUACUCCAACAGUCCAAAACGCUUGGGUAAAUAUCCUGUUCGCUGAAAAUAGCGAAUAUUGAUUUCAAUUUUUUUUCAUAUGUUCCUUUCCAUGGCAGCAAGAAACCAAGAGACAAAGAAGAAAGAGAAAGAAUAAGAAGCAAAACAAGAUA